rnacentral:tRNA from 1 species
GCAAAGUGCAAAUUUGCAGCAGCACCGUAAGGGUGCCGGGGCUU